rnacentral:tRNA from 1 species
GUCACGAUAGCUCAAGUGGUAGAGCAGUGGCGUAUGUAGCCGAAGGUCGUGGGUUCGAAUCCCACUUGUGACA